rnacentral:rRNA from 1 species
AUGCACAAGCGUUCCAAAUCCUGCGAGCCGUCCAGGAACGAGCAGCGCGGCGGCGUCCAUGGGGCCACGGCCUCCGACGACUCGAUCACGGGAAAGGUGGCGUCGUCGUCCUCGGCGACGGCGCAGUGCUCCACGAUGACGGUGUACCUCGUCAGGAUCAACGGCACCGAGCACCUCGUCACCGCCGUCUGGAACAAGAACAUCAUCAACCAGUCCUUCACCAUCACUAUCGAUCGCCACGGCGACGGCGCCGGCGGCGGGGCCGACGACGGAACGCUCAGCCUCAAGGUGGAGCUGAAGCCGUGGCCGUUCUGGAGCAAGAAGGGUCUCAAGAGCUUCUUCCUCGACGGCCACCGCCUGGACAUCUUCUGGGACCUCCGGUCGGCCAAGUUCCCGGCGAGCAGCCCGGAGCCGGCUAGCGGCUACUUCGUCGCGCUGGUGAGCCAGGAGCAGGUGGUGCUCACGCUCGGCGACCUCAAGAAGGACGCGUACAAGCGGAGCAAGUGCCGGCCGUCGCUGGAGGACGCCGUGCCGUUGUGCCGCCGGGAGACCGUCUUCGGCAGGCGAAGCUUCGUGGCGCGGGCGUGGCUCGACAACAGCAGGAAAGAUCACGACAUUGUCAUCGAGGCCUCGCUAGCCGGGCCAAGGGAACCAGAAAUGGCGAUCACGGUGGACGGCCGCGCCCUGGUGCAGGUCAAGAACCUUCAGUGGAAGUUCCGGGGCAACCAGACGGUGCUCGUCGACCAGUCGCCGGUGCAGGUGCUCUGGGACGUGCACGACUGGAUCUUCGCCGGCCCGGGCUCCCAGGCGGUCUUCGCCUUCAAGCCGGGUGCUCCGCCGGAGGUCGACAGCGACGAGGCCGGGUUGGAGAGCGGGAGAGGCAUUCCCGGUGACCCGGCGGAUUACAGCUUCUUUCUUCAUGCAUGGAAGACGGACUGA